AACGCACCUUGCACCCUCUGGUAUUCCGGAGGGUAUGCCUGUUUGAGUGUCAUUAAUCUCUCAACACAAGAAAACUUUUUGUUCCUUGUGCUUGGAUGGUGAAAGUUGCUGGCGCAAACAACUGUCAGCUCUUUUUAAAUGCAUUAGCAGAGCAGUGUAGGACUGGCCUCAGUUUGAUAAGAAACAUUUAUCUAUGCUGUCGCUAGAUUUCCUCUGUGUUCAGCUUCUAAACGUCUUCCGACUGUCUCUCCAGAGGCAACAUAACUCAUUGAUUGACCUCAAAUCAGGUAGGACUACCCGCUGAACUUAA
rnacentral:misc_RNA from 1 species